ACUGAUAAACCAAAAAAUCAAAGACAAGACGAAAAACUGAGAAACCAAAAAAUCGAGAGAGAACUCUUUGAAUCUGAAUUCCUAACAGCAACAACAAAAAAUGUGAAAGCGUUGAUCAAAUCGUUUUCCGCUUUGGUUUGUUGUAAAAGCGUUGAUCAAAUCGUUUUCGUAAUCACUUUGGUCGAAGCUCGAUUGCCAUGGCCGUCGAUAUCCUAACCUUAGAAAACAGGUAUAUUGAUUCUUGCAGGAGACAUGGUGUUUUGCCUAACGCUGCUAUUUUGUCAAGCUUUUUCAAGGCGGAGGUAAAAAAAUCCCACCAAGAGCCAUGCAUCCUGGACAUUUUAAUUGACGACCUUAAGGAUAUUGAUUUUGCUCCACUCCUUGAGAUAUGCACGAAUCUUGAUACUUCUGAAAUAGAAGCUGUUGAUAUACGUAAUGAAUCAGCAUGUGUAUUAAGUGAAGAAUAUGCAUUACCAUUGAUGCGUGCUAUUAAACAAAAGCUUCGAGUAGUCGAACUACAGGAUGCGUCAUUUACAAAAGACUUCAUACGGGAUAUCUCAGAAAGAGGUUUGGCAUGCCAAGUUUUGACAUCGAGGUCUUGGCGUUUCCGGAAGUUGGGCUUGGUGGGGGAGUUCAGGCAUAUGCACACACUUAAUCUUGAUUUCAGUUCCUCCCUUACCAGUUUUGAAGAAGACUGCUUUAAUUGCAUGCCCAAUCUAAUGUCUCUCUCAAUGUGUGAAACAAUGGUUGCAAAUCUUUGGUCAACUGUUGCAGCUCUCUCUAAGCUUCCAUCUUUGGUUGAACUAAGGUUUCAAUAUUGGCAGUAUUGUAAUGAUACGGGAACAUCUUUUACCUCAUCCAGUGGGAAGUCAGAUGGCACUGCUGAUUUUAGUUUACUUGAUAGAGUUCCUUUUAUUGGUGAAUCCUGCUAUGAUACAAGGGAACUAACAGAUCUUGACAUUAGUGUCGAGGAUCCACUUAGAAAUUUUUAUUCCUUUGAUGAAGAAGUUAUGAGUCAUGAUGUUCAAAGCAUGGUUGAGGACUCAACAGAAAGCAUGGUUGAGGACUCAUCAGAUGAUAGUGAAAUUGAUUUGACAAAUCAUCAUCAUAGAAACUGGUUGUUAGAUGUUUUUCCUAGGUGGAGUUUACAAAUGCCUCUUCAGAGCGAGAAUGAAGAGUCAUCAAGAGGAUCCUUUACAGGGAAUGGUAUUGAUGUUUCCAUGAAGUAUAUGUCUUGUCAUGCAUCACCAAUAUGUAAGGAAAAACAUUACAGAGAAUUCAUGAUAGCUUCAUUACCUAAUCUGAAAAGUUUAGAUAAUCUGCCUAUCAGAAAUAUUGAUAAGGAAAGGGCUACUGGAAUAUUUUAUCAAUACUUUGAAUAUCUUCCAUACAGAUGGAAGAGCAAAGAGAGUGUUUUAAGUAUCUUACACAAGCGAGAAAUAAAAUCAGGCCGCAUUAAGGUGCAAUCUUCAAACCGUAGCCCUUCACAUCCUCAUGGAACGUCUCAACAUUUUUAUACUAGGUCUCUUUCUGCUGCUAAACUGGGGUCUUCGACUUGGCCUUUCUUACAUCCCCUUUCCCUAUCAGGAUUUGAAUCGGAUAAGGGCUUUCGUCCAAGGCAGUUCGAGUAUCACCCAUCUGACUCCAGUUUGAUGGUCUUUGGAACUCUAGAUGGUGAAGUAGUUGUCAUCAAUCAUGAGAGUGAACGCAUUGUGAGUUAUAUCCCAUCACUUGGCGCAAUGAAUAGUGUCUUGGGUCUUUGUUGGCUCAAGAAAUAUCCUUCCAAGCUUAUAGCAGGUUCAGAUAACGGUACCCUGAAAUUGUAUGACAUCAACCAUAUACCAAGACAAAUUACUGGCUUAUAUGGGAACUCUGCUUGUGUUACCUUUGAUGAAUUUGACAGCCUGACAUCUGUUCAUGUUAACUCUACGGAUGAACUAUUUCUUGCAAGUGGUUAUUCAAGAAAUGUUGCUUUGUAUGACAUCAACAGUGGAAAACGCUUACAAGUGUUCACAGAUAUGCAUCAUGGGCAUAUUAAUGUAGUCAAGUUUGCAAAUCAUUCCCCGUCAAUUUUUGCUACUUCAUCAUUUGAUCAGGAUGUCAAGAUGUGGGACUUGAGACAGAAACCAGUAAACCCUUGCUUCACUGCUUCGAGCUCUAGAGGAAAUGUGAUGGUUUGUUUUUCUCCAGAUGACCAAUAUAUCCUAGCAUCGGCAGUUGAUAAUGAGGUUAGACAAUUUAUGGCUGUUGAUGGUAGGCUUCACUUAGUUUUUGAUAUAGCUCCAACUAAAAGUUGUCAAAAUUAUACUCGUUCUUAUUACAUGAACGGGAGGGACUACAUUAUAAGUGGAAGUUGUGAUGAACACAUUGUCCGUAUUUGUUGUGCUCAAACAGGGAGGCGCCUUAGAGAUAUUUCUCUUGAGGGUAAAAGUUUAGGAAGUUCCAUGUUUGUUCAAUCUUUGAGAGGCGAUCCUUUUAGGGAUUUCAAUAUGAGUGUGUUAGCAGCCUACGUGCGGCCUGGCUCCAAGUCUGAAAUUGUCAAGGUGGUCAAGGCUGAUUCCCGUGUACAGAAAAAAUUCAGCUGGAGGGGAGAACCCACCUUGUGUGUCCCACAGGUUCCUUGACGGAGAUUAGUCUUCGUUAACGGCUGUGGAAACUUCGUACUUGUAUUAUGAUCAAUUUACUAGCAUCUAGUGACCAUGCCAAGGGCGACUCUGAUGCUCAUCCUGUAUGCCCAUCCCACAUCAUGGGAGCUUGAUGUACGAUUUUAUAUGUAUUAUAUGUAGAGGUGAUUUUGAAUUGGUUUUUACUUGAAUAGUAAUAAUUAUAGUCUUGGUUAAUUAGUGUGUUGGGAUGAGCUUUGCCUACAUGUAAUGUAAAUCAAAAGUUAUAGUGAUCAGAAUUCAGAAAUCAGAGUUUGUAUAUGAAGAAACUGAACAUUUGCUCGUGUUAGUUUUUUAAAUUCCUUUUCAGCUAAGGUCCUGUUAUGGGAUAACCAUUUAGCUUUAGCAUGAUAAAACAGAGCUUGUCCUUGUAUUACUCUGUAAACUGAAGUUAAAUGUAUCAGUUGCGGCUAAUUAGUCCGUUUUCUCAAUGAAACUCUUUUAUAGUUGUUUA